rnacentral:rRNA from 1 species
UACGUAGGGUGCAAGCGUUGUCCGGAAUUAUUGGGCGUAGAGAGCUCGUAGGCGGUUUGUCGCGUCUGCUGUGAAAACUCGGGGCUUAACCCCGGGCCUGCAGUGGGUACGGGCAGACUAGAGUGCGGUAGGGGAGACUGGAAUUCCUGGUGUAGCGGUGAAAUGCGCAGAUAUCAGGAGGAACACCGGUGGCGAAGGCGGGUCUCUGGGCCGAUACUGACGCUGAGGAGCGAAAGCGUGGGGAGCGAACAGG